rnacentral:rRNA from 1 species
UACAGAGGGUGCAAGCGUUGUUCGGAAUUAUUGGGCGUAAAGCGCGUGUAGGCGGCUUUGCAAGUCGGGUGUGAAAGCCCUCGGCUCAACCGAGGAAGUGCGCCCGAAACUGCAGAGCUUGAGUACCGGAGAGGAUGGCGGAAUUCCCCAAGUAGAGGUGAAAUUCGUAGAUAUGGGGAGGAACACCGGUGGCGAAGGCGGCCAUCUGGACGGAUACUGACGCUGAGGAACGAAAGCGUGGGGAGCAAACAGG